UACUUGAUCUAUAUAUCUUUCUUGAAUGGACAAUCCUUCCUCUUAUAAAUGUAUGUCCAGGAGUAUAGAAAUUCUCUUUUGUCACAGCCAAAGGAAUAUCCUUCCUUUCUCGAUUAAGCUUCCUUCUUGAUUCUUCAAUUAAAUCCAGAUUAAUAUGAAUGUGUCUCCUUAUAGUUGUAGCUUUAUAUCAAACCUACACUCCUAUUACCCAAGGAUAUUUAGUUGUUUCAUUAAAUCUAACAGGGUAGACAUUUGCAUAAAAUCCCUUAAUUGUAUCCUUGUGGAAGUAGGGACAUGUAGUGAUCAAUUUAUCUUAUUGCCUUCUCUAAAUAUUUGCCUUAAAUUCCUCAUAUUCACCAAGAAGUAAUUUUAUCCUUCUUUAAGCUAAAAUUGUUCUUAACUCCAGCUUGAAAUAUCUUUCUUCGUUUACUUUUGGUCAAGAAUCUUGAUCUAUCUCAUUGUUCCAUUCCAUCAUCAUUUCUUCGUGCUUCCUUUAUUUCUCUCAAGACUGUAGAAUAAAUCCAUGCAUUUCCUGACGAAGAGGCAAUUUUCUUCCUCUUUCUUGAAGUCGGGAUGUUAUGAGUGAAUCUUUCUGGAUUCUUCAUCUGCACAUUCUUAACAACAUUUUCAAAAAUUCAAAACAAUAACAUAUUUAUCUUACUAUUAAAUUAUAGAUUCUUAUGCAUGUGAUAUUGAUUCAUCCAAGGCAUCAAUACCCUUUUUAUCAAAAUGUUUUUUAAGAACCAUGUGUUAUCCACAUUUGAAAUCUCCAUGCAAACUUAAAAGUUGAUUAAAGUGGAAAUAACACAAUAUUUCAAAUGUAAAGGAUGAGUAAACAACAAAUAUGUGAAAAACCUCAGUUCUUACAGGUACAUGUGCAUUAAGCGCAUUCUGAAUCAAAUUUAUAACUGACAAGAGAGUGAUUCAUGGAAGGUUUUUGACUUACCUGAUCUUAAGCUUUCUUAGAUGAAAUCUUUGGAGUAGAAUAAUAUGUAGUAGAAGAUGCUUGAAGUGAAAUGAAAUGAGAGUGAUAAAAAUUAUAGGGAAAAAGGGAUUUAGGAGAGAACUUGAAUGAGAGCAUAAGUGAAACUGGUUAGUUUAAAUGCUUUAUAUAAAGCUCGAAUGGUGCAUUGGGUGCAAUCUCAUAUGCUCAACAAAUCGGUGCAACCUCAUAUGCUUUAAAUGAUCUAGCUAAAUGGAGAUAAAAGUCUGGAAAAAAUACUUUGGUGUGAAAGUAAGUUCACUCAAGGAAGCACAAUUAGUUAAGGAAAUCAUGAAGAUUUCUAAUAAUAAUUUUAAGUCUCAAGUCAUAUAGUGAAAACUUGUUCACUCAACAAAAGUAUCAUAAUUG
rnacentral:lncRNA from 1 species